AGUAAUGUAAGCUAAGCAAGCUAUUGGGCCCAUACCCCACCAAUGUCGGUUAAAUUCCCUCCUUUACUA
rnacentral:tRNA from 2 species